CAAAACCCCAGGUAAUGUUUGUCUCUGUAUUUUAGAGGUGAUUUUAAGCAACCAUUCCACCAACAUUUUUCAGUGUGCUACAAAUACGAAAGGGCUACCAGCAAAACGCAGAAAUUGGCUAAGAGAAAUAAAGACUUUUUCCACAGCCAUGUUUUCACUAGUUUUCUUCUCAGUUUCUUAUUAUUAUUAUGGGUGGAUUGGUCUGUACAGAAACAGACUGUGGUCAGAUCAGAGCAACUCUUCUUUCACAUACUGGCUGCCAGAGACUUCAUAUGUUCCUCCACAACCAGAUAAUGGUUUAUAUGUUGAUGGACUUCAGGGAGCUCAACAUUGUACUGCUGUGUCUUUACAAUCUUUUGGCCAGUGGACAGAUGAGAACUGCUUUGAGCAUUUGCCUUUCUUCUGCUACGAUGGUGAGAGCAUAUAUGUCUAUAUGAUGACAUCAAAAACAUAUGUUAAAUUUACAUACAAGCUUCUAUUCAUAUCAAAUUGUUGUUUUUUUACGUUACACCCCCUUCUGUUCUGGUGAACAUGAUGACCACUUCCUCAACCUUUUCAGAUGAGUAUGUGAUUGGACUGAGACUUGAAGUUACAAGUGAAGAAAAUCUGUCAGAGUCUCAGAUUGAAGAGCUUGUGCUUAUACGGUUUCAAGAGAAGCUGAUCGAACUAGGACUUCCCUGGAACAUCACCACACAUUUAAGAAAAUAUCGUAAAAUCAGUCCAUGAAAAUGAAGGAAAGCAGUUCACAUUGUCAAAUACAAAAUAGUUAACUGUGUCAAUAACUACUGUAAUCUUUUUACCUAAACAACUUUCAAAUUAAUUUCAGUUGUAAAUAAUCAAGUUUUGUUUGGUAUGUUCUGUAUAUUGUCAUGAAUCUGCCUCUCCAUGUCUUUCUUGAUCUUGUGGCAGAGUCAUGGCAAAGCCUUAGGUUUUGUGUGGAGAGAAACAUAUUAUUGUCGGUCGUGACAUAAUAUGCGCUCUCUCUGGUCUUGUCUUUUGCCCCGCCCCUCUCAUUCCUCGCUUAGCUUUCCACCCAUGUUUCAUUACCCACACUUGUCCAAUGAUAUCUUCCUUUGUUAGUCUUCCUAUUUAAUGGCCUUGUGUUUGCUGUCCUUUGUCAUUCGUUUUGCUAUUUUUGUUAUGCUACCUAGUUAUUUGUCUGUUGCCUUGUUUCUUGGAUUACCCUGCCCUGUUGGAGUCCCUUGUCUUAUGUCGUGUGUAUUAUUUAGUCUUAAUCGUUUUAUAGUUCGUUUUGUUCAUCAUGUUUCUUUGUUUUGCCCAAUCGUGGGAAGCUUUUAUUUUGAAGUUCUCCUUAGUUCUUUGGUCCUUUUUCUCUAUUGUGGGUUUUUAUUUUAUAAUAAAGAAUUGUGUGUAACCCUU